rnacentral:rRNA from 1 species
UACGUAGGGUGCAAGCGUUAAUCGGAAUUACUGGGCGUAAAGCGUGCGCAGGCGGUUGUGCAAGACAGAUGUGAAAUCCCCGGGCUCAACCUGGGAAUUGCAUUUGUGACUGCACGGCUAGAGUGUGUCAGAGGGGGGUAGAAUUCCACGUGUAGCAGUGAAAUGCGUAGAGAUGUGGAGGAAUACCGAUGGCGAAGGCAGCCCCCUGGGAUAACACUGACGCUCAUGGCACGAAAGCGUGGGGAGCAAACAGG